AUUGAACGCUGGCGGCAGGCCUAACACAUGCAAGUCGAACGGUAACAGGAAGAAGCUUGCUUCUUUGCUGACGAGUGGCGGACGGGUGAGUAAUGUCUGGGAAACUGCCUGAUGGAGGGGGAUAACUACUGGAAACGGUAGCUAAUACCGCAUAACGUCGCAAGACCAAAAAGGGGGACCUUCGGGCCUCUUGCCAUCGGAUGUGCCCAGAUGGGAUUAGCUAGUAGGUGGGGUAACGGCUCACCUAGGCGACGAUCCCUAGCUGGUCUGAGAGGAUGACCAGCCACACUGGAACUGAGACACGGACCAGACUCCUACGGGAGGCAGCAGUGGGGAAUAUUGCACAAUGGGCGCAAGCCUGAUGCAGCCAUGCCGCGUGUAUGAAGAAGGCCUUCGGGUUGUAAAGUACUUUCAGCGGGGAGGAAGGGAGUAAAGUUAAUACCUUUGCUCAUUGACGUUACCCGCAGAAGAAGCACCGGCUAACUCCGU
rnacentral:rRNA from 1 species